AUCUGCCGGUUCAUUAGCCGGUGUUAGUAGUGAUCAUGCGACAUUUAUUUUAAUAUUUUUCUACAUUCAUUUAUAGUCCACCAUGUGAUAAGAGUGUCAUUACGACCAUCUUACAUAAUAGAACAACGAAAAUAGAGAUGCAGCAGGCGAUCCGUUCAUCUGGGCAUCAGUUGAGGCACUGGGGCAUUUUACUUUAUAUUACAAUUAGAAGUAGAGGUGAGGUGUGUACGCACAAUAAAACAAAUGAUGGGAGAAGGAAGGGAAGGAGGAGGGGCACAUGUAUUUGCAGCACGAAUUAGAACAGAUGCGAUCGUAACAGUACUGAUGCACCGGAUCCCACCAGAACUCUAUCGU
rnacentral:lncRNA from 1 species